AUUGAACGCUGGCGGCAGGCCUAACACAUGCAAGUCGAGCGGUAGAGAGAAGCUUGCUUCUCUUGAGAGCGGCGGACGGGUGAGUAAUGCCUAGGAAUCUGCCUGGUAGUGGGGGAUAACGUUCGGAAACGGACGCUAAUACCGCAUACGUCCUACGGGAGAAAGCAGGGGACCUUCGGGCCUUGCGCUAUCAGAUGAGCCUAGGUCGGAUUAGCUAGUUGGUGAGGUAAUGGCUCACCAAGGCGACGAUCCGUAACUGGUCUGAGAGGAUGAUCAGUCACACUGGAACUGAGACACGGUCCAGACUCCUACGGGAGGCAGCAGUGGGGAAUAUUGGACGAAAUGGGCGGAAAGACCUCGAUCCAGCAAUAGCCGCCGUGAGUGAUGAAGCGUCGUGG
rnacentral:rRNA from 1 species